rnacentral:lncRNA from 1 species
CAAACAGAUCAUAAGGAACUGGGUAUUAUCUUCAGUUUUUCAGUGUUGUUGAAGUAAAUCAUUUACUUUAGGUCCUUCAGGAGUCCUUUAUGUAAAGCUAAAACUGCUCAAAAUCUCCAUAUCGCACUCUAAGGCCUUUACUACAAGAGGAAAAUGAGGCUUCCCAUUACUUCUGCCCCAGCUUAUCCACAAAUAGCUCCUGUGCUGGCUUCCUGCCCGGGGCAGACUUCACCUACUUUGCACAGGCACCUCAGUCCAUACAUGUGGUGCAGCUGUGACCUCUGCUCAGGGCUCUCCAGGGAAAGCUGACGUGAUUUAAAGGUCAGCACAGAAGUGUGAUUGCUGGGUAGAGUCCACAGUGUGAAAGCAGUUUCUGCACUGGGAUGGUGAAUGGAUUACUCACCUCAUAAAACUACUUAGUAUGUCAGCUGGAGAAAUGGGGUCUUUGUCAAAAGGUGAAGCUGCAGAGUGAAUGGUCAAUAGUGGAAAGGGCAAGACCCCUCUCCUCUGAGACACCCACUAGGCUGACAGAAAACACAGAGACAUUGGCAGGGUUUAAGCAUCUUGACUUGAGCAUCCAGCAUCUGUGUAUCCAAACAAGAGUCACCCAGCAUCCUCGUGACCAGCCAUUGGCUGUCUCCAUGGAGAUGAGUGCUGCUGCUCUGGGGACCACAGCAGGAUGGUAUCAGGUUGGAGAAGAUCAUUACCACAAAAUAGAAAUGGCCACAGCUGACUGGAGAGAAGAGACUGAGCAGGCAAAGCAAUGGGGACAUCUAUGGGAACAAAAAAAGAGAAAAGGACAAAUCCUCUGAGGAUGAAACCAUCUCUGGACAGUGCUGAUUACAAGAUCUACUAAACAUUGCUGGUGUCCCCCUGACCUGUUGCUGUUCAGCAAAGCAGUGGCUCCCAGUAAUUUCUCCCUAUGGUUUUGGGGAAGUCGUCACUACUCUCAGAAAAAAUAUCACCAGAGCUAAUUGCC